rnacentral:rRNA from 1 species
AGGGAAUCCCCCACACUGGGUCUGAGCACGGACCAGAUUCCUACGGGAGGCAGCAGUGAGGAUUAUUGACAAUGGGCGCAAGCCUGAUCCAGCCAUGCCGCGUGUAGAAGACGGCCCUAUGGGUUGUAAACUACUUUUGUAUAGGAAGAAAUCUUUUUACGUGUAAGAAGUUGACGGUACUAUAAGAAUAAGCACCGGCUAACUCCGUGCCAGCAGCCGCGGUAAUACGGAGGGUGCAAGCGUUAUCCGGAAUCAUUGGGUUUAAAGGGUCCGUAGGCGGGCUGAUAAGUCAGUGGUGAAAUGCAGGGGCUUAACUCCGGCACUGCCAUUGAUACUGUUAGUCUUGAAUUAUUGUGAAGUGGUUAGAAUAUGUAGUGUAGCGGUGAAAUGCUUAGAUAUUACAUAGAAUACCAGUUGCGAAGGCAGAUCACUAACAAUAUAUUGACGCUGAUGGACGAAAGCGUGGGUAGCGAACAGGAUUAGAUACCCUGGUAGUCCACGCCGUAAACGAUGGUUACUAGCUGUUUGGUACAAUUGAGUACUGAGUGGCCAAGCGAAAGUGAUAAGUAACCCACCUGGGGAGUACGUUCGCAAGAAUGAAACUCAAAGGAAUUGACGGGGGCCCACACAAGCGGUGGAGCAUGUGGUUUAAUUCGAUGAUACGCGAGGAACCUUACCAGGGCUUAAAUGCAGAUUGACAGGUUUAGAAAUAGACUUUUCUUCGGACAAUUUGCAAGGUGCUGCAUGGUUGUCGUCAGCUCGUGCCGUGAGGUGUCAGGUUAAGUCCUAUAACGAGCGCAACCCCUAUUACUAGUUGCCAGCGAGUCAUGUCGGGGACUCUAGUGAGACUGCCGGUGCAAACCGUGAGGAAGGUGGGGAUGACGUCAAAUCAUCACGGCCCUUACGUCCUGGGCCACACACGUGCUACAAUGGUAGGGACAGAGAGCAGCCACUUCGCGAGAAGGAGCGAAUCUUCAAACCCUAUCUCAGUUCGGAUCGUAGUCUGCAACUCGACUACGUGAAGCUGGAAUCGCUAGUAAUCGCAUAUCAGCCAUGAUGCGGUGAAUACGUUCCCGGGCCUUGUACACACCGCCCGUCAAGCCAUGGAAGCUGGGGGUGCCUGAAGUCGGUGACCGUAAG